GUGGGGAAUAUUGGGCAAUGGGCGCAAGCCUGACCCAGCCACGCCGCGUGAGUGAUGAAGGCCUUCGGGUCGUAAAGCUCUGUGGGGAGGGACGAAACUCCGCUGGCUAACAUCCAGCGGACUGACGGUACCUCCUUAGCAAGCACCGGCUAACUCCGUGCCAGCAGCCGCGGUAAUACGGAGGGUGCAAACGUUGCUCGGAAUCAUUGGGCGUAAAGCGCACGUAGGCGGUCCGUUAUGUCGGGUGUGAAAGCCCUCGGCUUAACCGAGGAAGAGCACUCGAAACUGGCGGGCUUGAGUACUGGAGAGGGUCGCGGAAUUCCCGGUGUAGAGGUGAAAUUCGUAGAUAUCGGGAGGAACACCAGCGGCGAAGGCGGCGACCUGGACAGAUACUGACGCUGAGGUGCGAAAGCGUGGGGAGCAAACAGGAUUAGAUACCCUUGUAGUCC
rnacentral:rRNA from 1 species